UUGAUCCUGGCUCAGAAUCAACGCUGGCGGCGUGCCUAACACAUGCAAGUCGAACGCGAAAGUUCCGCAAGGAAUUAGUAGAGUGGCAAACGGGUGAGUUACACGUGGGUGACCUGCCUUCGAGUGGGGGAUAACGUCCCGAAAGGGACUCUAAUACCGCAUAAUAUCCUGCCUUUUAAGAGGUGGAAAUCAAAGCCGGUGAUCGCAAGACCUGGCGCUUGAAGAGGGGCCCGCGUCCGAUUAGCUAGUUGGUGGGGUAACGGCUCACCAAGGCGACGAUCGGUAGCCGGCCUAAGAGGUCGGACGGCCACACUGGGACUGAGACACGGCCCAGACUCCUACGGGAGGCUGCAGUGGGGAAUUGUUCGCAAUGGGCGCAAGCCUGACGACGCAACGCCGUGUGGAGGAUGAAGACCUUCGGGUCGUAAACUCCUUUCGAUCGAGACGAAUGGCCUUCGGGUUAAUAACCCGGGGGAGUGACGGUACCGAGAGAAGAAGCUCCGGCUAACUCCGUGCCAGCAGCCGCGGUAAUAAGGU
rnacentral:rRNA from 1 species